GGUGGACAACCCUUCCGCCUCCAAAACUCCUCCGCUCCCGGCCAUGGUCGUUCGAACAUGAGAUCGAUGUGUCUUGGGGCGAGCGCUUGGGCGCCACGGCGUUGUAGUUCCUCACCGAGUUGCUCGCGUUGGGUCUCGGCAUACUCACCGUGGUGCUCCCCGCGGACGAUGAGAAGUAGUCCGAACUCCGGACUGCCGCCGCCUUUGACUGGACUGCCUUCGCCCAAGUCUGGACUUCUGGCACGCCUCUCCGCGAGUCCCGAACGAGGAGGCUGUGGACUCCCUCGAGCAACCAUUGGAUCUCCAUAUACAUGAUACACAACGUUGGUUUGUGCAAGACUGAAUUUUCGAUCUGUCCGUUCCAUCCAUUCUUCACGAUUCACAAGAUUUAGGACUCCAGCCGGCCUCCUUUAGAUUCACUACUACUCCCUCAUGUUUCUAAGGGUGACUAUGCGUGUCUCAUGUCUUCUUUGGAAAUUCAAUUUCAGAGAGAUUCUAUGCUUUCCCAGAGAUGAUUUGUGCCAUAGUUUUCUGUAGAUUGAUUUAAUCCUAAAGGGGACCCAAGAUUCUAAUCAUACUUCUUCGGAAUAAAAGAGGACUGAAGCAACCUUGGUUGGAAGGACAUGAAUACUUAGGCGUUCUAGAUGAAUUCUUGGAAGUUGUUCAUGCACGCUGGUCUGAAGCAAUUGGACAGGUAUGCGAGUUCUGGUCAUACUUUGCUUGCUAACCAAAUCAUGCUCUGUUGCUGAUGUGGUAAAAUUCAGUUUGAAGAUCUGCACAUGAAAUGGGCAUUCGGAACUCUACAGAGAUACCCCAAAUGAUUGUGCAGGUUCAAUAAUGAUGUACUGGCACUUUGGUCCCCGAACUUCGGUGUUCUGUAAUUUGUUUGCAAUAUUUUUCCCUUCCAAUUUUAUAUAUCCUUUGUUGUGAUCUUCCUACAUUCUAUACGGAAGUGCACACGUUUCUCUUGCUGGUGUACUUGGAGUAGUUAGAUCACACAGGGGGGCCUUUCACAGAGCUUACUAGGUAUGCGAUAGUUUUGGUGAGAGCUGGAAGGUAUGCGAUAGUUUUGGUCAUAUAACUAAGCUUGAGUCCUAUUGCCUGUUGGAUGCAUAGAAGGUCCAGCUGAUGCAGACCUGCAACUUGCAUGAAUUUAUAACAAUAGGAUACAGAGAUUUUAAUCAUUCAGACAAGGUUGUGUGUAGAUAAUUUGACCAAACUACUAGGAUUUUAAAUAAACAUGCAUUUCUUGCCAGUCCUCAUAUCCUUUUUAGUUUUAGUGUUUACUUUGUUUCAGAGGUCGUCUUGAUUCUUAUCAUCACUGUGGUUAUUUCUAACUGACUGCUUCUCUUCUUUAAUUCUAUUUUCACUCAGGUUCAAUUGCUCACUUGCGUGCUGAUGCAUACUGACUCAGGCCACUCUUCGCUGCUCUGGUAAUUUCUACAUCAUCAACUGUCUCUAUUAUUAGUUACCAUUGUUUAUUAAUGAUACAAGUAUUUUUGUUGUAGAUCAGCUAAUCUCAUAAAUCUAUCAUGCAGAAAAACUGAUAUAAUAGAUCCUGGUCUUAUAGCAGCAUGUUUGAUAUGGUCUUAUAGCAGCAUGUUUGAUCAUUCUUCUCUUGGGCGUGAAGGUUGAUGAUAGCAUAAACAUGGUCUGUGGUCCUUAUGUGUUUCGGGCAUGCCAUAAAUAGAUCCUCAAUAAAACAAGCUUGCCGGACGGACUGCUUAUUUAGCAAACUGAAGAAAAAGCUAUCAGACAAACGAACUAAAAAGUUGAGCUAACUUUCGAAGUGACAAUAGCCUGAAAUAUUGUGGUGUCAGGUUUACAUAUUCGGUUUCAACGAACUAUUCGCUUUUUGCAGUUAUUUUCUAAUCCACUCAUUGUUAUGAAAUACAGAUUUACUUGAUGGAUUUGGUAUUUGCAUGAUGUUAAAAUAUGAGCCAAAAAACCGACCUAUUUACGUACAGAUACUGGUUCAGACCUUCUUAACAAUACGGCAUUUUUUGGGCUGUUAAGAUUUUUGCAGCUACUAUAACCACUUUUGGCGAAUAAGAAAUGUUUGUAUGUAUACUGUGUUUAAACAAAUCUUUCACCGUUUCAGGGGUUCCAACAAAUAAUGCAGCCCGGGAUACUGAAUAUCAAAAGACAUGUUUUAAUUGAAGUGUUUAUGACAUUGUUCACCUUCCUCUUCUGUUUUACGUUAGAAAAUUCAAAUAGAUUAUGGAUAUCACUAAGGAGUUAUGAUUUAAGACACUGGCAGAAUAACCCUCCGUCUCAGCUUUACAGCUAUAUAUAGUAGUAUGUCGAUAAUUUCUCUAUUUAUGAUUACAGUAUUACAUUUAAUGCAUGUGGGCUCUUAGAGCAGUUCAAGAAGAACAUUACAAUGUUUGUGGGUAACUAAUGCAAUCCUUUUAUAUGUGUAAAAUAUACAGUCCUUCUAAGGUGUUUUCCAGAACAUAGUUCUUUGAGAAAUCAUGCCUUUUUCUAUUAGUCUACUCUUAAUCAAUUAAUUGUUUCUUCAAUAAUAGACUGAAAUGUGAGCCUUGUUUCGGAAUGUUAUGUUCAACUAAUGUAAGCCUUCUAAAGGCGUUUUCCUCUGGUGGCAGGUCAAUCAGAGGGUGCAUAGGUGCUCUUGUGUCUGCCUCUUUCACCGCCGCCUCCUAAAGUUCAGUUUUGCGUGUGUAAUCUUAAUCCAGUUCCCUACACCAAGAACGGUGGCAUGUUGCUUCCUAUCAAGAUUGUUGUCAUCUUCUGGUAUGGAGGUCUUUCUCCUCUACAUAAAUCUCACAUCUGAAUAUGUCCCCUUGGAUUCGGGGCCACCGACUUCCUCUACCGUGCUCGCAGCCAUGGGUAUCCCUGAUUUUCCUUGAUUUGCCUAAUAACAGUUCACAUCCAGUGAAACAAAUGAACAACAAACAUUUUCUCUGUUGUUUUAGCUGACAGGCAUGGCCAAUUAUGUUUUUGUUUUGGUAUAUGAUCAGUAAUGAUUGAUUCCAUAAUACUGAUGCCCCUUAAAAAAUGCAGACUUGCUUUUUUU